AGGGAAUGAAACGAGACCUGAGUAGUUCCCUUAUACAGAACUGCUGUAUAAGAAAGUGUAUUUAUGUUAGAAUAAUUAUUGUGUAAUUAUUUUAUUGUCCAGCGGAGGGCAGCGAGGGUGAUUGGGAGACGGGAGCAUCUCACUUCCGAGGAAAGGCUGAGGGAGCUGGGCCUGUUCAGCCUCCAGAAGAGAUGAUUGAGAUGGGACCCCAUCAAUGUCUGUUCUGCAAGCCUUGAGAAUGGGAAGUUCUUCAGCAUCAGUCCCAGAAGUCCCUGCUCAUUUGGCAGCUCCCAUAGUAUCAGCACUGCUGAAGAUUAGGAGUCUUGCCAAGGAAUGUCAGAUACACCAUCUAUUGCAGAAAGCAAAAGGAGAAUGACGUGCCAAAGUCUGAAGGGCCAUUCUUAUCUGGCUAUUGUUAUUAAGAAAUAUGGAAUAAAGCAGGUUGGGGGAAGAAGAAUUUUUCUACCUUUGGCCUAACCUGCAGACCAGAUAAAGAGCACUGUAAUUCAGAGCUCCUCGCAGACAAACUUUUGCCCGAGGACUACCUGGACCACUUCUGCUUCGAGAAUCAGACUCGGAAGUCCUUGAGCUGGACCGAGAGCUGUCUUCUUCCUCUGAUCCCGAUGACUCAUCUAUAAAUGGGCUGUUGCUUAUUUGAGUUGCUUUCUGCAUAAAUGAACACAACAUUCUUUGAUA